rnacentral:misc_RNA from 1 species
GAUGAAGAACGUAGCGAAAUGCGAUAAGUAAUGUGAAUUGCAGAAUUCAGUGAAUCAUCGAAUCUUUGAACGCACAUUGCGCCCCUUGGUAUUCCGAGGGGCAUGCCUGUUCGAGCGUCAUUAUAACCCCUCAAGCUCAGCUUGGUGUUGGGGCCUGCUGCACUGGCAGCCCUUAAAAUCAGUGGCGGCGCCAUCUGGCUCUAAGCGUAGUAAUUCUUCUCGCUAUGGAGUCCUGGUGGAUGCUUGCCAUCAACCCCCAAUUUUUGUAUGGUUGACCUCGGAUCAGGUAGGGAUACCCGCUGAACUUAAGCAUAUCAAUAAGCGGAGGA